CGGGACGGGUGAGUAAUGCUUGGGAAUCUAGCUUAUGGAGGGGGACAACUACGGGAAACUGUAGCUAAUACCGCGUAAUAUCGAAAGAUUAAAGUGUGGGACCUUCGGGCCACAUGCCAUAGGAUGAGCCCAAGUGGGAUUAGGUAGUUGGUGAGGUAAAGGCUCACCAAGCCGACGAUCUCUAGCUGGUCUGAGAGGAUGACCAGCCACACUGGGACUGAGACACGGCCCAG
rnacentral:rRNA from 1 species